ACCUCAGUAAUCAAUACAUCGCUUCGCUGUGUCUCCUUUGCAAGUUCAACAUUGAAUGAAAUUAACCACGCGGCAAAAAGAUUACAAGAUGUCUCUGCGUUCAAUGCAGCUGGAUUAUCUCAACCCACAUAUCUUAUGUGUUCUGUGCGGUGGAUACCUCGUAGACGCUACAACGAUUGUUGAAUGCCUUCACUCGUUUUGUCGCAGCUGUAUCGUGAAUUAACUACA